rnacentral:rRNA from 1 species
GACGAACGCUGGCGGCGUGCUUAACACAUGCAAGUCGAACGGAAAGGCCCUGCUUUUGUGGGGUGCUCGAGUGGCGAACGGGUGAGUAACACGUGAGUAACCUGCCCUUGACUUUGGGAUAACUUCAGGAAACUGGGGCUAAUACCGGAUAGGAUCUCCUGCUGCAUGGUGGGGGUUGGAAAGUUUCGGCGGUUGGGGAUGGACUCGCGGCUUAUCAGCUUGUUGGUGGGGUAGUGGCUUACCAAGGCUUUGACGGGUAGCCGGCCUGAGAGGGUGACCGGCCACAUUGGGACUGAGGUACGGCCCAGACUGCUACGGGAGGCAGCAGUGGGGAAUAGUGCACAAUGGGCGGAAGCGUGAUGCAGCAACGCCGCGUGCGGGAUGACGGCCUUCGGGUUGUAAACCGCUUUCGCCUGUGACGAAGCGUGAGUGACGGUAAUGGGUAAAGAAGCACCGGCUAACUACGUG